rnacentral:scRNA from 1 species
UAAUCAUCAUCAUCAUAAUCAUCAUCUAACA